UACAGAGGCCCCAAGCGUUACUGAGAAUCACUGGGUUUAAAGGGCGCGUAGGCGGCUCAUGAAGGCUGUGGUGAAAGUCCGGGGCUCAACCUCGGAUCGGCCGUGGCGACUCGUGGGCUGGAGCACUGUAGAGGCGGGUGGAAUUCCGGGUGUAGCGGUGGAAUGCGUAGAGAUCCGGAAGAACACCAGUGGCGAAGGCGGCCCGCUGGGCAGUGGCUGACGCUGAGGCGCGACAGCGUGGGGAGCAAACAGG
rnacentral:rRNA from 1 species